rnacentral:rRNA from 1 species
UACGAAGGGGGCUAGCGUUGUUCGGAAUUACUGGGCGUAAAGCGUAUGCAGGCGGAUCAUUAAGUCAGGGGUGAAAUCCCGAGGCUCAACCUCGGAACUGCCUUUGAUACUGAUGAUCUUGAGUCCGGGAGAGGUGAGUGGAACUGCGAGUGUAGAGGUGAAAUUCGUAGAUAUUCGCAAGAACACCAGUGGCGAAGGCGGCUCACUGGCCCGGUACUGACGCUGAGAUACGAAAGCGUGGGGAGCAAACAGG